GGCCACAUCAUGUUGAAACACCGGUUCCCGUACGAUCACCGAAGUUAAGCAACGUCGAGACUGGUCAGUACCUAGAUGGGUGACUGCUUUGAGAAUACCAGGCGCUGGA